CCAAGAAACUAAGAAAGUAGAGAAAUCGGUGUCAUCUAAAGUAAUAUUUAUAUGUGUAUCUCGACCCGGAUAAGCUAUUCAAUUUAUAGUUCAAAAGCACUUACUAUAUUCAGCUCUAACUGAAGUGUAAAAUAGCCAGCACCCUGUAGGAGGCCUGGGGGCCUAAUUGCGGAAAACAAAGAAGUAAUAAACUUUGGCGUCACUUUAAUUUGUCACAGGAAAUAUAUAUUUCUUCGCAGGAGGCUUUUUACGCAGUCUAGAUGUUUAUUAUGCUUGGUUCUGCUGGCACUACAUACACAAGACCACAUACAGAAAACGCAACCACCAUAAUCAACAAGACAAGUUUUUUUCCGCACAGUUUAAUUUUUGCAGGACGGUGUUAAAAGCACGUAGUCACAUGUUCAUCGCUCAAGACAGUCUUAUUUUUGUAUCACUACUAUAUUAUAACUCAAACAUGUUCAAAAGAAUUUUUCUUAGCAAAAUGUGCUGCUCUUUUUGCACAAAAUAAAAUUAAUUACAUAAACUCGUUAAAAGAAAAAUACUGCACACAAACCUUUCCGUCUCAAGAUGAAAA